rnacentral:lncRNA from 1 species
CCGGCCGAAAUUUUCGACUGGUCAGCCCCCUAGCAUCGGAUACAUGCACUUGUGACCGUCAGAGCUGCUCGUCAGUGCGCUACAUGGUGGCGAAGAAAAACAAAGGAAAAAAAUCCUCACCUCGCUCGCGUACACCUACAUGACCUCUCACCUUCUCCCACUAGCGCUCGUUGGAGCCACCCGUUGGCGCGCUCGUCGGAGCCGCUCGUCGACGCGCUUGCCGGUCGGAAAUCUUGCUCGCCUCUGGAGCUCUGCUUGUCGGCGCGCUCGCCGGAGCCGCUUGUCAGCGUGCUCGCCGGUUGGAAAUCUUGCUCGCCUCCGGAGCUGCUCGUCAGUGCGCUCGCCGGAGCCGCUCGUCAGCGUGCUCGCUGGUCGCAAAUCUUGCUCGCCUUCACUGAUAGCAAAUUUUGUUGUCGGUCAUAGCAAACGGAGACAAUGGUUGCAGCAAAAAAGUUGUCAUUACCGCUAGCGGUUGUAGCUCGCCGUUGCAGGAUGUAGCAAAAAUUGUUGUCAGAUGUAGCAAAAAUCUAUUACAGUUGCAGCAAAAAAGUCAUCGCCAUCAUCGCAAAUCACAACUCAACCGUGGACGUAUGUAGCAAAAAAUGAAAACAGUUGUAGCAAAAUGCGACGCCAGUUGUAACAAAAACACGACCCCGCUUAUGCAUUGUAGCAAAACAUGACGCCGGUGGCAGCAGUAUGUGAUGCCGUUUGUAGCAAAUUCCAACGCUGGUUGAAGCAUGUAGCAAAAACUGCGUCAUCAGUUUUCCUCGGAGGAGCGUUGCCCCAUCCUCGCCGUCCUGCGGUCACCAUGCUCGUCGUCUCAUGUUCGGUCGCAGCCUCCUCCGGCACCGGUUGCAGCCUUCUUCCCGGACCAUGCGUCGCCAUGAACUAUGGCUUAUUUGAGAGAGAGAGAGACAAGGAGAUAUGUGUUUUGAGGAAGA